GAUGAAGAACGCAGCGAAAUGCGAUAAGUAGUGUGAAUUGCAGAAUUCAGUGAAUCAUCGAAUCUUUGAACGCACAUUGUGCCCCUUGGUAUUCCAUGGGGCAUGCCUGUUCGAGCGUCAUUUGUACCUUCAAGCUUUGCUUGGUGUUGGGUGUUUGUCUCGCCUUUGCGUGUAGACUCGCCUUAAAAUAAUUGGCAGCCGGCGUAUUGAUUUCGGAGCGCAGUACAUCUCGCGCUUUGCACUCAUAACGACAGCGUCCAAAAGUACAUUUUACACUCUUGACCUCGGAUCAGGUAGGGAUACCCGCUGAACUUAAGCAUAUCAAUAAGCGGAGGA
rnacentral:misc_RNA from 1 species